CCUACUGGUGGCAGCAGUGGGGGAUAUUGCACAAUGGGGGGAACCCUGAUGCAGCGACGCCGCGUGGGUGAAGAAGCGCCUCGGCGCGUAAAGCCCUGUCAGCAGGGAAGAAAAUGACGGUACCUGAAGCAGAAGCCCCGGCUAACUACGUGCCAGCAGCCGCGGUACUACGUCGGGGGCAAGCGUGAUCCGGAUUUACUGGGUGUAACGGGGGCGCAGACGGCGAUGCAAGCCAGGAGUGAAAGCCCGGGGCCCAACCCCGGGACUGCCCUUGAAACUGCGUGGCUUGAGUGCAGGAGGGGCAGGCGGAAUUCCUGGUGUAGCGGUGAAAUGCAUAGAUAUCACGCAGAACUCCGAUUGCGAAGGCAGCAUACCGGCGCCCAACUGACGCUGAAGCACGAAAGCGUGGGUAUCGAACAGGAUUAGAUACCUUAGUAGUC
rnacentral:rRNA from 1 species